rnacentral:ncRNA from 1 species
CCGGUUCCGGUUCACACUCGGCAAUCCACCGGGUGACCCGGCGACC